AGUAGCCAUGAUUGUUAGUUCACUUUUCACAGUCAGUGCCGAAAGCAGUUUUUUUGUUUGUUUGUUUUUUUUACCUUGACUUCUACUUCCUUCUGUUACUGAGAGCAGCACCGGAAUCGCAUCCAUCAUAGCUGCUUGUUAUAU